rnacentral:lncRNA from 1 species
GGGCAAUGUAGUCCAGUCAUGUGGCUAGCAGGAAAAUGCAGGGGGCUUGGUGAAAAUUUGCUCUAGGUCCCAGACUUGGCAAAUGAUACAAGAUUUAACUCACACAGUCCGGCUUCCAAGCCCACACUCUUAACCACUGUACUCUCAGUCAGGGAUUGAGUGGGCAAGCACUGUGGGCUGCAGACACCAAGCUCCACCAUGAUUCCCCCUCCACUCUCAGAGGCUCCAUCCAGCUGGCAGGCUCACAGCACUGCAGCCCAGCAUCUGAAGUGGUACUGUCCCUAGGCUGAUGACUGUCACAUUUUUAGUGGGGCCAAAACUUUCCUCCAAGAUUCAGAUGUGUGUCACCAACUAGAGAGCAGGCUUGGAAUUUAAAAAUAAAGUUUUCAGUAAGUUGA